UGCCCAUGUUGUACAGCUAUAACUAUAACUGCAGCAACUCUCUAAUAAAGUUCCAAAAUCCUACCAUGAUGACAACAGACAAAACACACCAACAAAACGAUUAUCAGACCAACAACCACACACCUAAGCACAACCAAUUACCAGGUAAGAGCAAAACACGAUGUACGACAACAGACAAAACUCACAACGAUUAUCAGACCAACAACCACACACCUAACCACAACCAAUUACCAGGUAAGAGCAAAACAUGAUGUGUCGAACGAAAAGGGCACAUUGGACCACCAUGGCGGCAAAGUUGGGGCAUAAGACAUGAGGCAACAAUCAAUGCCAACCAAAAUUGCCAAGCCAGGUAAACCAUCACACCAAUUUCAUUACCACACCACAACCAAAUAGAGGAAAUCAUCACUGCCUACCAGAUAGCAAUCACAAAUGUAACAAACAUGAUGCUUUAGGUUUCAAAAAUGGACAACAUGAAUGUUUCAAAUAAGGACAGGUGUUCGUUUAAAAUCAAAAGGAAUUUUUGUUUACCA
rnacentral:lncRNA from 1 species